rnacentral:rRNA from 1 species
CCUACGGGAGGCAGCAGUGGGGAAUAUUGCACAAUGGGGGAAACCCUGAUGCAGCGACGCCGCGUGAGUGAGGAAGGAUUUCGGGAUGUAAAGCUCUAUCAGCAGGGAAGAAAAUGACGGUACCUGACUAAGAAGCCCCGGCUAACUACGUGCCAGCAGCCGCGGUAAUACGUAGGGGGCAAGCGUUAUCCGGAUUGACUGGGUGGAAAGGGAGCGUAGACGGCUAGUCAAGUCAGAAGUGAAAGCCCAGGGCUCAACCUUGGGACUGCUUUUGAAACUGAGUAGCUAGAGUGCAGGAGAGGUAAGCGGAAUUCCUCGUGUAGCGGUGACAUGCGUAGAUAUUAGGAGGAACACCAGUGGCGACGGCGGCUUACUGGACUGUAACUGACGUUGAGGCUCGAAAGCGUGGGGAGCAAACAGGAUUAGAUACCCGUGUAGUC